GAUGAACGCUGGCUACAGGCUUAACACAUGCAAGUCGAGGGGAAACGACGGGGAAGCUUGCUUCCCCGGGCGUCGACCGGCGCACGGGUGAGUAACGCGUAUCCAACCUGCCUCUGACUGAGGGAUAACCCGUCGAAAGUCGGCCUAAUACCUCAUGGUAUCGUCUGCGGGCAUCCAACGACGAUUAAAGAUUUCAUCGGUCAGGGAUGGGUAUGCGUCUGAUUAGCUUGUUGGCGGGGUAACGGCCCACCAAGGCUACGAUCAGUAGGGGUUCUGAGAGGAAGGUCCACGACAUUGGAACUGAGACACGGUCCAAACUCCUACGGGAGGGAGCAGUGAGGAAGAUUGGUCAAUGGGCGAGAGCCUGAACCAGCCAAGUAGCGUGCAGGAAGACGGCCAUAUGGGUUGUAAACUGCUUUUAGGCGGGGAUAAAGUGAGGGACGGGUCCCUCAUUGCAGGUACCGCAUGAAUAAGGACCGGCUAAUUCCGUG
rnacentral:rRNA from 1 species